GCUACAAUGGACAAAUCUGGUUACUCUUUAACUGCUUGUAUUGUCAUUGCUGUGGCUUCUGGCAUUGCUGGAGUGGCUAUUGGUGUUGUAGGAACUGCCAAAUACAAGUGGAAAAUGAUGCUUAAUGUGAUUGCAGCUGUAUCCACGCUGUUUGUUCUCAUGUUCUUAACGGAAGGCCUCAUAAAACUGGCUGUCAGUUUAUUACCAGCUCUUUAUGUCACAAUUAAAUGGAAGCGUAAGUCACAACUCUGUGGUGUUCAGUGAUACUUUCAAAAUAUGUUACACCAAAGUUCUGCAAAGUUCUACUAAUAUUUUCAGUGGGAAGUUUUCUUUCAGUUCCUCAAGGUAGGAUAACUAAAGGUGUUCCAAAAGCAUUUAGGGACAACUUCAUUAGAUCCUAAUGUUCUCAAAUUAAAUCAUGCAGAGAGAACAUUCUUCCUUUAUUAUUAUGUAACAUCAUGGAACAUUGUGAGAACGUUUUAUAGGUUCUAUAAUGCGUUCACUUAACAACAUCCCCAGAACAUUACAGCUAGAAUGUUCCAGUGUUAAUAUAUCACAGUACAGAAACAUCUUCAGAUGUCAUCUGAAAUCUCAAUAACAAGGUGGGAACAUCUAAUAGAAGAGCGUAAUGUCUUUUCCCUCCUCUGUUAAUAUAUCUUACAGCAGGAAUGUUUUAUAAAAAUAACAAUAAACCCUUAAAUAUGU